rnacentral:rRNA from 1 species
CCUACGGGUGGCAGCAGUGAGGAAUAUUGGUCAAUGGGCGUAAGCCUGAACCAGCCAAGUCGCGUGAGGGAUGAAGGUUCUAUGGAUCGUAAACCUCUUUUAUAAGGGAAUAAAGUGUGGGACGUGUCCUAUUUUGUAAGUACCUUAUGAAUAAGGAUCGGCUAACUCCGUGCAAGCAGCCGCGGUAAGACGGAGGAGCCGAGAGUUAUCCGGAUUUAUGGGGUGUAAAGGGUGCGUAGGCGGCCUUUUAAGUCAGCGGGGAAAGUCUGUGGCUCAACCAUAGAAUUGCCGUUGAAACUGGGGGUCUUGAGUAUGUUUGAGGCAGGCGGAAUGCGUGGGGUAGCGGUGAAAUGCUUAGAUAUCACGCAGAACCCCGAUUGCGAAGGCAGCCUGCCAAGCCAUGACUGACGCUGAUGCACGAAAGCGUGGGGAUCAAACAGGAUUAGAUACCCUAGUAGUC